rnacentral:tRNA from 1 species
GCCGGGAUGGCGAAACUGGUAUACGCAGGGGACUUAAAAUCCCCCGGAGCGUUGCUCCUUGCCGGUUCGAGUCCGGCUCCCGGCACCA